UACGUAGGGGGCAAGCGUUGUCCGGAAUCAUUGGGCGUAAAGAGCGUGUAGGCGGCCAGAAAAGUCCGCUGUGAAAACUCGAGGCUCAACUUCGAGCUGUCGGUGGAAACUUUCUGGCUAGAGUCCGGAAGAGGAGAAUGGAAUUCCUGGUGUAGCGGUGAAAUGCGCAGAUAUCAGGAGGAACACCGGUGGCGAAGGCGGAUCUCUGGGCCUUGCCUGACGCUGAGGCGCGAAAGCUAGGGGAGCAAACGGG
rnacentral:rRNA from 1 species